GAUUCCCCCAGUAGCGGCGAGCGAACGGGGAGGAGCCCAGAGCCUGAAUCAGUGUGUGUGUUAGUGGAAGCGUCUGGAAAGGCGCGCGAUACAGGGUGACAGCCCCGUACACAAAAAUGCACAUAUUGUGAGCUCGAUGAGUAGGGCGGGACACGUGGUAUCCUGUCUGAAUAUGGGGGGACCAUCCUCCAAGGCUAAAUACUCCUGACUGACCGAUAGUGAACCAGUACCGUGAGGGAAAGGCGAAAAGAACCCCGGCGAGGGGAGUGAAAAAGAACCUGAAACCGUGUACGUACAAGCAGUGGGAGCCUCUUUUAUGGGGUGACUGCGUACCUUUUGUAUAAUGGGUCAGCGACUUAUAUUCUGUAGCAAGGUUAACCGAAUAGGGGAGCCGAAGGGAAACCGAGUCUUAACUGGGCGUUAAGUUGCAGGGUAUAGACCCGAAACCCGGUGAUCUAGCCAUGGGCAGGUUGAAGGUUGGGUAACACUAACUGGAGGACCGAACCGACUAAUGUUGAAAAAUUAGCGGAUGACUUGUGGCUGGGGGUGAAAGGCCAAUCAAACCGGGAGAUAGCUGGUUCUCCCCGAAAGCUAUUUAGGUAGCGCCUCGUGAAUUCAUCUCCGGGGGUAGAGCACUGUUUCGGCAAGGGGGUCAUCCCGACUUACCAACCCGAUGCAAACUGCGAAUACCGGAGAAUGUUAUCACGGGAGACACACGGCGGGUGCUAACGUCCGUCGUGAAGAGGGAAACAACCCAGACCGCCAGCUAAGGUCCCAAAGUCAUGGUUAAGUGGGAAACGAUGUGGGAAGGCCCAGACAGCCAGGAUGUUGGCUUAGAAGCAGCCAUCAUUUAAAGAAAGCGUAAUAGCUCACUGGUCGAGUCGGCCUGCGCGGAAGAUGUAACGGGGCUAAACCAUGCACCGAAGCUGCGGCAGCGACACUAUGUGUUGUUGGGUAGGGGAGCGUUCUGUAAGCCUGUGAAGGUGUACUGUGAGGUAUGCUGGAGGUAUCAGAAGUGCGAAUGCUGACAUAAGUAACGAUAAAGCGGGUGAAAAGCCCGCUCGCCGGAAGACCAAGGGUUCCUGUCCAACGUUAAUCGGGGCAGGGUGAGUCGACCCCUAAGGCGAGGCCGAAAGGCGUAGUCGAUGGGAAACAGGUUAAUAUUCCUGUACUUGGUGUUACUGCGAAGGGGGGACGGAGAAGGCUAUGUUGGCCGGGCGACGGUUGUCCCGGUUUAAGCGUGUAGGCUGGUUUUCCAGGCAAAUCCGGAAAAUCAAGGCUGAGGCGUGAUGACGAGGCACUACGGUGCUGAAGCAACAAAUGCCCUGCUUCCAGGAAAAGCCUCUAAGCAUCAGGUAACAUCAAAUCGUACCCCAAACCGACACAGGUGGUCAGGUAGAGAAUACCAAGGCGCUUGAGAGAACUCGGGUGAAGGAACUAGGCAAAAUGGUGCCGUAACUUCGGGAGAAGGCACGCUGAUAUGUAGGUGAAGUCCCUCGCGGAUGGAGCUGAAAUCAGUCGAAGAUACCAGCUGGCUGCAACUGUUUAUUAAAAACACAGCACUGUGCAAACACGAAAGUGGACGUAUACGGUGUGACGCCUGCCCGGUGCCGGAAGGUUAAUUGAUGGGGUCAGCGCAAGCGAAGCUCUUGAUCGAAGCCCCGGUAAACGGCGGCCGUAACUAUAACGGUCCUAAGGUAGCGAAAUUCCUUGUCGGGUAAGUUCCGACCUGCACGAAUGGCGUAAUGAUGGCCAGGCUGUCUCCACCCGAGACUCAGUGAAAUUGAACUCGCUGUGAAGAUGCAGUGUACCCGCGGCAAGACGGAAAGACCCCGUGAACCUUUACUAUAGCUUGACACUGAACAUUGAGCCUUGAUGUGUAGGAUAGGUGGGAGGCUUAGAAGUGUGGACGCCAGUCUGCAUGGAGCCGACCUUGAAAUACCACCCUU
rnacentral:rRNA from 1 species